GUGAACGCCCUCACGGGCUUAUACUGUUCCAAACCUCUGUGAACCGUGCCCUUCGGGGCUAUUUUACAAACAUGGUGUAAUGAACGUCGUAUAUCAUAACAAAACA
rnacentral:misc_RNA from 1 species